CGGCAGGCCUAACACAUGCAAGUCGAGCGGAUGAGAAGAGCUUGCUCUUCGAUUCAGCGGCGGACGGGUGAGUAAUGCCUAGGAAUCUGCCUGGUAGUGGGGGACAACGUUUCGAAAGGAACGCUAAUACCGCAUACGUCCUACGGGAGAAAGCAGGGGACCUUCGGGCCUUGCGCUAUCAGAUGAGCCUAGGUCGGAUUAGCUAGUUGGUGAGGUAAUGGCUCACCAAGGCUACGAUCCGUAACUGGUCUGAGAGGAUGAUCAGUCACACUGGAACUGAGACACGGUCCAGACUCCUACGGGAGGCAGCAGUGGGGAAUAUUGGACAAUGGGCGAAAGCCUGAUCCAGCCAUGCCGCGUGUGUGAAGAAGGUCUUCGGAUUGUAAAGCACUUUAAGUUGGGAGGAAGGGCAGUAAGCUAAUACCUUGCUGUUUUGACGUUACCGACAGAAUAAGCACCGGCUAACUCUGUG
rnacentral:rRNA from 1 species